rnacentral:lncRNA from 1 species
CAGCAACUCAGGAGGCCGAGGCAAGAGGAUUGCAAGUUUGAGGCCAGCCUUAGCAACUUAGCAAGACCCUCUCUCUAACUGAAAAAAUAAAAAGUGCUAGGGAUGUGGCUCACUAGUUAAGCACUACUGGGUUCAAUCCAAGAACUGCCCCCCCCAAAAAAAAAAUUACUGAAAGUAGUUAUUCUGUGUAUUUUCUCUUCUUGCUCAGUCUAUAAUUCUCUUUUGGUGUAGUUCACAUACCUGCCCUUUGUGAUAUUGCCACAAAUACUUUGUCUGGGUUUACUGCUCACUUGGCAUUUGUUUAGUCCUAAUGACCAGGAAAAUGUAAGAGAACCAUGACAACCAUUUUCACUCUUUUCUGAGUUUGACCUUGAUUGUAGCAUGAGCUAGCUGUCCCUGAUACUGUGGAAUACAGGGAAAGUCUUUCUCAUUUUUCUGCUGAAGUUCCCAGAAUGAGGUUUCUUAAUGGGCUUACAGAGGCCGGAGGAGAACCUGACUAGUUGAGGUGACACAAUCUAGUGCUUUCUCCGCACAGGCCUGCAGAGAUUUCCUCAUGUUAGCCCAGACCCACAGUAAAAAGUGGCAGAAGUCACUGCAGUAUGAAAGAGACCAGCGUAUCCGACUGGAAGAAACCCUUGAGCAGCUGGCAAAGCAGCACAACCACCUGGAGAGGGCCUUCCGGGGAGCCACAGUGCUGCCUGCAAACACUCCUGGCAGCGCAGGAUCUGGUAAAGGUAAGACGCUUUGUUCUUGCAUAGCCUGUUCAGAUUUGAGCCAGGUGAUUUUCUGCAAUUGAUAGAAGAGCUCCAAAUUCUCCACAAUUAAUGACUUAUCUGAAGUGGCUUUGGAGCUGUUCAUUUCUUCUGGCUUUUCCACUACUUUACCAUUUGUUGCUAUGUUUGUGGUUGGUACUGAGAAGAACUGCGGUACCAGGCAUUUGAUAAAUAUAACCAGAGAAAACAAAGAAGGCCUUCUCCUCGUAGAUCAGUGCUGCUCUGGGAAAGGAGACAUGAGUGAUGAAGAUGAUGAGAAUGAAUUUUUUGAUGCACCAGAGAUCAUCACCAUGCCUGAGAAUUUGGGCCACAAGUAAGUUAUCCUUUACUGUCAUACCUGAUCAUCAAGAGGUUAGAAACAUUGUUCAAUGUGGGAAUGUUAUAGUUGUCGACAUUUAGUAAAAUCUGGGCUCUUUUCUUUAAGUAAGUGGAAAACUGUCAGCUUUUUACAUGAUGAGUUCUCCAGAGGCAUUUACAGUCAUAUCUAUUUACACCUUUUGAUUAGCCAUCAAUAAGUUUGUGCAGCAUACUUGACAUUCUGCUUUGUAAAAAAAAAAAAAUUGAGGCCCAAACUCUAGUUGUGCUCUUUGUUCUAAAUCUCCUGUGUUCCCCUCUAUGCAGACGCACUGGCAGCAAUAUCAGUGGGGCCAGCAGUGACAUUAGCCUUGAUGAACAGGUAACUCCUAUGUGGAGGGCAUCAAAGGUGAAGGAUUUGGGCUAUGAGUCCCAUGGAUUUGUUUGUAAAGUGCUAAGAAAGAAAGAAAAAUCCUGAUUUUUUUUUAUUUUAAGUAUGGGGGAAGGGAAGAUUAGCAAUAGCAGAUUUUCUGUUCUUUGUGGAUGAUUGAAUGGCUUUAUUCUUGCUCUCAGUACAAGCAUCAGCUGGAAGAGACGAAGAAGGAAAAGAGAACUAGAAUACCAUACAAGCCAAACUAUAGCCUCAACUUAUGGAGCAUCAUGAAGAACUGCAUUGGAAAAGAACUCUCCAAGAUCCCCAUGCCGGUGAGGUCCUUGCACAUCCUAACUGCUGCCAGUAGGUCCUCUCAGCCUCAGGCAAAAGAAUGCUGAUGUGACAGCCCUCCCCUCCCAAACGUGUGGCAGUUUUGAGCAUAGCCUUUGUUACCCUUAUAGUCAUAAACUGUUCCUUUAAAUUAGCUGGCUGAGUUUUGGCUCUGAAUCUGGUAUGUUCCCAGAUCACCUAGAACCAGAUGCACACGUUCAGUAACUUUUAUGAGCAAAUUCCUAUGCUCUGUGCUUGGGGGCAUGCAAAAAUAAAUACAGCCUUAUUUCUGUUUUUAAGAACCACAUAAUUUAAAAGAGACAUGAAAACAGGUUAAAAAUGAUAUUAUUUUAUUUUUUAUCAUAGUGUAAUGGGAAAUACUAUAUAUACAAAGGUUUAGGGAGCAUAGAAGCAAAAACCAUUCCAACCAGGAAGGUGAAAAUUAUUGGUGAAGAUGGGGUUUUUAAUGACCUCCCUGUCAGUGAUCAUUCAUUUUUCCAGUCUGUCCACUAUUGCCAAAGUGAUUUUUUUUUAAACUGCAAGCAUGGUUGUGUUAGUCUUCAAUUUAAAAUCCUGGAUCUUUAUUGCUCUGGACAUAGUUCAGAUUCUUUAUUGGACUCACCACUUCUUCCCCAGGGGCAAGGUCAUCAUAUAUGUGUGAUGGUAUAGUCAUCAGAUUAGCCUCAGAUACUCAGAGUUAUCUUGUUUAUUCCUCAGAGCAUUUAUACACACUGAUCUUUCUGCCUGAACUUUGAAUUUUCCACCAACCCUUGGUAGUUUUCUUUUGCUGUGGCUAAAACUCUUUCCUUUGGAUUUCAGUAUAAUGACAUCUCUUUCAGUAAACCUCCAGUGCAUCCAGUCAGGAGAGAUCUGUCUUCUCUCCUGUGUCCCAACAGGUUCCACCGAUUGUGUCUGGGCCACGUGUUUCUUUUACUUAUUCAUUCAACAAUCAUUUACUAAGUGUCUUCUAUUUGCCUGGUAUUGUACUAGUAUAACAGCUGGGAAUAAUCAAUUUAAAGCAGUAAAUCCAAAUGUAUUGGUUUAAAUUAGGGGGUCAACAAGCUAGGGUCUGUGGGCCAAAUCUGGCUGCUAUCUAUGUUGUCCACAAGCCAAACAUAGCUUUUAUAUUUUUAAAUGGUUGGAAAAAAAUAAAUAAAAAGGAGACUAAUUGUCCAUAGUGUUUGUGUCCAUAAAGUUUUACUAGAACACAAAGAUAUUCAUUUAUGUCUUAUCUGUGGCUGCUUUCAUGCUGCAAAGCAGCAUUGAGUAGUUGUGACAUAGACCACAUAUCCCGGAAAGCCUAACUAUUUACUAUCUAGCUCUUUACAGAAAAAGCUGGCAACUCCUGUCUUAAACAAAUAUUGGCCUCACUCAUUUGUGUUAAAGUCCAGAAGCAAAUGGUCCAGUUCUAGUAUCAUACUCCAUGGUGUCAGGACCAGACUGCUUUCUCUCCUGUUUCUCUGUGUCUGUGGUCUUAGUUCUUAGGUUCAUAGUGGCCUCUCCAGUUUGAACCAUCGGGAUCACAUUCCAGUCAACCCUUUUAAGGGUUGUUUCCUGGAAAUUGCAUAAUCCAUUAAUCUCUUAAAUCUCUGUGGCCAGGACUUAGCUAUAUGACCAUAGUUAGCUAUAGAAAAGGCUAGAAAUGAAGACUUGGGGGUACAGAGGGCCAAAAACUUGGCAGACAGAAUUACAGAAAGUAUUCUCUCUACCUCUCUGGGUGCAGAGAACAGUGUAUGAUUUCUGUCUCUUCAUAUACUAUGUUCCUAUGGAGAGAAACUAUGUCUAAUUGGACUCUAUAUCUUUAAUGCUUAGUCCAGAGCCUGGCAUAUACAGAUCAUUCAACAAAUUGUUGAACUAAUUAAUCAACAAAUCUUGAAAAGCAAAUAGUUUAUUUGUAAGUCUGUAUGAUUUAAAAAUGUAUUUAUCAACUACAGUCGAGGAUAUAUAACUCAGAGGUAGAGUGAAGCCCUGGUUUGAUUCCCAGCAUUGGGAAAAAAAGAAAAGGCUUAGAAAAGAAAAGAAAAGGCCCUGAGUAAGCAGGCACAUUGGAGAAACUGAGAUAAUGGGUGUUUUGGGGACCUGAAGAGAAACCCCACUUGCCUGGAACAUUAGGUGUCUAGAAGUAGUGGGCAGGUGGGCUGGAAAGACAGUUUGUCAUGGUCUGAGAAGUGCACUUCUGCUUAAAAACAAUUCUAGGUCUAGGUGACCUCUCUAUUCACCUUUACCCUUAGUUCCUUAUUGACUUUGCCACUAGGAAUGUGCAGUUCUGUACCUGUUGGCCUGCAAAUCAAGUGCUCACCCUUCCCCUGCCCUAUACUGGGUCACAGGAAAGCUGAUCAUCUGAGGCUGUUUUUCAAGCUUCUGUGUCUUGUGUCUGCUGGAGUCUGGCUGGACUCUACUAGGGCAAAAUACCAGGAGAUGAGAGCUUGGAAGAGGGUAUUUCUCUCCUUUUAGGCAGUUUUCUGGCAGCAUCUGGACAGGUCUCCUCAGCCCCCCUCAAGGUUUUAGCCACUGCCAGUUCCCCUUGGCCUCUGGCUAUAGUAAUAACACUGCUUUUUUCUGUUCCUUCAUUAUGGCUUCCUGGUGUUGCUCAUCUCAGGAUUGUCUUCUCUAGCUGCCUGCUGGCUAUAUAAUCAACUCUUCUUUCUUUCAUUUCAAACUCUCAGAUUCAUUAGUUUUCCUAUUUGACCUCAGAGUGAUAAAAUGAUCAUUAUAAACAAUUUAGCACUUUUAGAGCAACUGUGGUUCCUGGAACAGUUGUUGGAAAGCAGGGUCAUGUGUGCAUGGAAAGCAGUGACAGACUUAGGAUGAACUGAUUCUAGUCCUAGGCACAGUGGAUGUGUCUAGUAGCCACCAGAGGAGUACACUCUUUUCCCCCAAAAUAUGGAAAUGUUGCUUCAUGUUGCCUGAAAUUUUGCCACUGAGAGAUUUUGUUGGCAUGGUUAUUAAACUAUGGAAUUUUUCUGAAAGAUUGCUGAGGAUUAGGUCUUUAUCAGUCAUCUUUAUCAGGCACCAUCAUAAGCACUUUACAUCUAAAAAUACAGCUGUCUGGCCUCAGAAGUAGUCUGUCCUGGCCUGAUGUAGAAUUGAACUGAGACUUAGCAAUUGUCUAGUCCAGGGUAGAAGCUAACUUUUGUAAUGCGAUCUUUUCAAUAGUCUGGAAGUGCCUGUAUUUGAAUACCUUUUCUUUUCUCCCUCAAGAACUUUAAGUAUCUGACUUCCUCUUUGGUUAUAUUUGUGCUACAACUUAGUAUAUUUUAAAAUUCAUUCAUUCAGGGGCUAGGCUGUGGCUCAGCGGUAGCACACUUGCCUGGCAUGUGUGAGGCACUGGGUUUGAUUCUCAGUACCACGUAUAAAUAAAGGUCUAUCAACAACUAAAAAAAAAAAUAUUAAAAAAAUUCAUUCAUUCAAAACUUAAAUUUGUUAUUGGUCUCCUAUGUCCAUGUACUGAUGGCUUUUGGUUAGGUAGUAAUGGACAGAACAGGCAAGGUUUCCAUCUCCAAAAGCUUACUGUUAGUGAAAUGGAUGAAAAUGAUGAUUUCUGCCGCUCUCUGACAUGAGCAGAUACCAAGGAAAAUGGGUUGCCUUUGGGUUAAGUCUUUUUUCUUUUCAUUAUUUGUCUUAUCACCUCAACAUCUCAGGAUCAGUUUAUCCCCUGCAAAAAAAUGUAACUCUCUUAAAAAUGUCUGGACAAGGUUUUUAUAUGUGUUCUUUUCCUUACAGGUGAACUUUAAUGAGCCCUUGUCCAUGCUUCAGCGCCUUACUGAAGAUCUGGAAUACCAUGAGCUGUUAGACCGAGCUGCAAAAUGUGAGAACUCUCUAGAACAGCUCUGUUAUGUUGCAGCUUUUACCGUGUCCUCCUACUCCACUACUGUCUUCCGUACCAGCAAGCCAUUCAACCCACUCCUUGGGGAGACCUUUGAGCUGGACCGACUAGAGGAAAAUGGGUACCGAUCCCUCUGUGAACAGGUCAGGAGCCUCAGCACCUUGACACAUUUCCUUCUGAAGAAAAGGAUGAUUCUUUGAACCCCUGCGUGCUGUUUGUAGAAAUGUCAGUCCCUGUCAUCUUACCCUUCUUUUCCUUCAAAAUUAAACACUGAAGCCCUGGUAUUCACUUACUAUUGUGGGUAUAAAAAUAUCAAGGAUGAAUUUUGUGUGUUUAUCACCAAUUACUAGGCCAUAUCUUUUCCUUCUUUCUGCCUUGCUAAUUUGAACCUCAUUUCUUUAAGGUGAGUCAUCAUCCCCCAGCUGCUGCACACCAUGCGGAGUCCAAAAAUGGCUGGACACUGCGUCAGGAAAUCAAAAUCACCAGCAAGUUUCGAGGCAAAUACCUCUCCAUUAUGCCCCUCGGUAAGGCCGCAUCUUUAUAAGAAUUAAUGCUUUAGGAAUAAAAGUUUUUCUGGCAUGAUGAAGGAGGUCAUCAGCAGACAGAAGAAUCUCUGAUUCAGACACCAAAUUUCACUAACUAGCUUUAGUCAGGUUAUUUACCUUCUUUGCUCUUUGCUAUCAAAAAAGUGAGAAGGCCAGAAUCUCUUUAAGGACCCAGCUCUACAUAAAUUCUUUGUCUUCUUAACCAUAUUGAACGCAUCUUUAGCACAAUUUUAGAACAUAAAUUCUAGCAUGACUUUAAAAAAAAAAAUUCUAUCGCUUAACUGUGUUGUUUCCCUGAUUACUGUAGCAAUCCAGUUCUCUCUAAAAAUCAGGACCCUUAUGAUCACAAGGUUAGGUUUCUUGGCUAGCCUCUCCCCUUCCUUCUCUCCUUCCACCCCCUCUCUUUCUCUACCUGAUGAAUUAGGUAUCAGUUAUGUAAUCACUAAAUUCCAAGUAAGGUGAAACUUUAUUUUUAAAAAAAAUCUUACUGAAUUACAAGUUAAUUUUGUGUCAAGAUCCGAAAGUUCAGGUCAGGCCUGGUGGCACACAGUUGUAAUCCCAGCUACUCAGGAGGCUGAGAAAGGAGGAUCACAAGUUCUGGGCCAAACUUACUAAGACUUUGUCUUAAAAUUUUUAAAGUGUUAGAGAUGUACCUCAGUAGUAGAGUGCCCUGAGUUCAAUCCCUAGUACCCCCAUCCCUCAUCCCUCCCCCAAUCAAAAAAAAAGUCCUAGGAAUAGGAAUCCUAGUAUAUAUACACUGUUAGAAUGAUAUGCAAAAUCUUUUCACCUAUAGAGAUCCAUUACCUUUCCUUAACUUUGUGCUCUUAUUUUCAUAUAGAUAAUAAUUUUUAUACAUUUUAAUCUUAUCAGUGUAGUUUUAUAAUAGUUUUAUGUUUCUUUAUGCCUUUAAAUCUCAUAGGAGAAAGAAAAAAGCAGUUGCAAGUAAAAACUACCCUUAUACUAUCUUUUAUAUAGUUUAACUGUAGUUACCUUUACUGGUCUUUUAUUUCUUUUUCUCAGUUGUAGAUGGAUACAAUAUCUUUAUUUUAUUUAUUUAUUUUUAUGUGGUGCUGAGGAUCAAUCCAGUGUCUCACCCAUGCAAAGAAAAUGCUGUACCACUGAGCUACAACCCCAGCCCUGGUCUUUCAUUUCUUAAUGUAGAUUUAAGUUAGUAUCCUUUCAUUUUAGUGUAAAGGACUUCUUAUAGUAUUUCUUGUAAGACAGAUCUGCUAGUUAUGAACUCCUGCAGGUUUUGUUGAUCUGGGAACUUCUUAAGUUCUCUUCUGUCUAUGUAGGAUAGUUUUACUAGACAUAGAAUUAAUUCCUUUUCAGCUUUGAAUAUUUCAUUCCACUGCCUUGUGGUCUCUGUAGUUUCUCCUCCCACCCCUACCACUCCUCAGUUUUUUUUCUUGCAGGGUAAUACACAUUAAAUAAAAUUUGGUAUCUUAACCAUUUUAACUGUACAGUUUGGUGUCAUUAAAUAUAUUCUUAAUGUUGUCUAUCCAUCACUACCAUCCAACUCCAGGACUCUUUAUUUUGUAAAACUAAGACUGUAUACCCAUUACACAGUAACUACCCAUUCUUCCUCCCCCUAGACCCUGGAAAACACUGUUAUAUUUUCCAUUUCUAUGAUUUUGACCGUUCUCAUAUAAAUGGAAUUAUAUAGUAUUUGUCUUUUUGUGACUUAUUUAUUCGCAUAAUAUCUUCAGGGUACAUCUGUAAUAUAGCAAAUGGCAGAAUUUCUUUCCUUUUUAAAGCUUAAUAUUCAAUUGUACAUAUAGAUCACAUUUUUCUUAUACUUGAAUCUGUUGGUGAACACUUACUUGGGUUUUGGCUAUUAUAAAUAAUGCUGCUGGGCUGGGGAUGUGGCUCAAGUGGUAGCGCGCUCGCCUAGCAUGUGUGCGGCACUGGGUUCGAUUCUCAGAACCACGUAAAAAUAAAAUAAGAUAUUGUGUCCACCUAAAACUAAAAAAUAAAAAAUAUUUUUAAAAAAAGAAUUAUAAAUAAAUAAUGCUGCUAUGAACAUAGGUACAUAAAUAUCACUUUGAGAUCCUGCUUUCAAUCUUUGGAUUACAUUCUUAAAAGUAGAAUUGCUGGAUCAAAUGUCAAUUCUAUUUUUAUAGUUACAAUACCAUUUUAAAUUCCCAUCAAUAGUGUACACUCAUGCCAAUUACUCCAUAACCUUGCCACCAGUUAUUUAUUUCAUAUUAGUCAUCCUAAUGGGUGUAAGGUGGUAUCUCAUUGUGGUUUAGUUUUUUCUUUUUCUUCACUCUAUAGAUUUCAGGUUGUUUUUAUUCUUGUUAGCCUGGCAAAUAUGUAAAUGCUUUUGAUACAAAUUUAAAAGAGAAAUACUAAGUAAUAAAACAGUAUCUCCAGCAUGCCUAUAUAUUGCAUAUGUUCAUAGUAAAAGAUAUAUAGAAAUAUUAAACUUUAUGUAAACUGCAGUUCAUUUUUUUUUUUAUUUUAAUUGGUAUAUAUGACAUCAUAAUGUAUUUUGAUUCAUUGUCCACAAUUGCAGCACAACUUUUCAUUUCUCUGGUUGUAUUGUGGUUUGGUUUAAUAGAGAUGUUGAGUACCUUUUCAUGUGCUGACUAACCAUUUGUGUGUUUUGGAGAAAUGUCUAUUUAAGUCUUUUGCCCAUUUUUUUAAAAAAUUGUUUUCUUUGCCCAUUUUUUAAAUUGAGUUGUUAAUUUUUUUUUUGGGGGGGGGUUUAGAAGUUCUCUCUAUUCUGAAUACAAAUUCUGUAUCAGAAGUAUGAUUUGUAAAUAUUUUUUUCCAUACUGUGGCUUCUCUUUAGUUGAUAUCCUCUGAAGCACAACAUUUUUUAUUUAUAUUUUUUAGUUGUAGUUGUACAAAAUACCUUUAUUUCACUUAUUUAUUUUUAUGUGGUGCUGAGGAUUGAACCCAGGGUCUUGCACGUGCGAGGCAAGUGCUCUACCGCUGAGCCACAACCCCAGCCCCAGCAAACAUUGUUUGAAAAAAUUUAGCAAGUUCGUUUUUGUCUGUGUGUUUUAUUGUUGCUUGUGUCUUUAGUGUCAUUCAAGAAAUUAUUGCCUAUCCAAUGCCAUGAAGCUUUUGCCCUCUGUUUUAUUCUGAGUUUUAUAGUUUGAGGUCUUACAUGUAGGCUUUUGAUCCAUUUCAAGUAUGUGUGUGUGUGUGUGUGUGCGUGUGUGUAUAAAAUAUAUAUUUAUUUAUCUAUAUAUUUAAAGUAUUUAUUUAUUAUUAAGAAAAAGUUCAACUUCAUUCUUUAGCACAUUGGAUAUCUAGAUUUUUCCCAGGACUAUUUGUUAAAAAGAUUAUUCUUUCCCCCUUUCAAUGAUAUUGAUAUCCUAGUCAAAAAUUAUUUGAGUGAAUACACAAAGGUUUAUUUCUGGGCUUUCUUUAAUUCUGUUCCACAGGUUUAUUUGUCUCUCUUUAUGCCAGUACUACACAGUUUUGAUUAUGGUAGCUUUGCAAUAAGUUCAAACACAGGAAAUAUGAGUUUUCCAGCUUUUUUCUUUUUUUUUUUUCCUCUUUGUUAAGAUUAGUUUAGCUAUUCAGGAUUCCUUGAGAUUCCAUUUGAAGUUUAGGAUAUGUUUUUAGAGCCAGGCAUGGUGGUGCAUUCCUGUCCCAGUGACUCAGGAUACUGUUCUAGACCAGCCAUGGCAAUUUAGAAAGAUCCUGUCUCAAAAUAAAAAAUAAAAAUGUUUGGGGUUGUAACCAGUAGUAAAGUUUCACUGAAUUCAAUCCCCAGGAUGGGGACACACACACACAACACACACACACACAUACACACACACACACACAUAUAUAUUAUAUAUUAUAUAUAUAAAUGUAUAUAUAUUAUAUAUUUUUAUAGGGAUUGUAUUGAAUCUGUAGAUUACAUUGAAUAGUAUUGCUAUCUUAACAAUAUUGAGUCUUCCAAGCUAUGAUUAUGGAAUGUGCUUCCAUUUGUUUGUCGUCUUUAAUUUUUUUGAGCAAUGUUUUGUAGUUUUUACUUCAUUGAUUAAUUCCUAAGUAUUUUAUUUUUUGAUGCUAUUAUAAUUGAGUCCAUAAGAGUCUUUGAUAUUAUUCAUUAUUAGUAUAUAGAAAUGCAAUUGAUGGGCCAGGGUUGUGGCUCUGUGGUAAGAGUGCUCACCUAGCAUGUGUGAGGCCCUGGGUUUGUUCCUCAGCACCACAUAAAUAUAAAUAAAUAAAGUUAUUGUGUCCAUCUAUAACUAUAUAUAUAUAUAUAUAUAUAUAUAUAUAUAUAUAUAUAUAUAUAAACAAAAAAGAAAUACAAUUGAUUUGCAUGUGUUUACUGUGUAACCUUUUUCUUUGCUAAAUUAUUUACUAUUUCAAACAGUUAUUUUGUGUGUGUUUGUGGAAUCUUAGUAACUAUUUCUAUAUAUGAGAUCAUAUCAUUUGUUAAAGGAUAUAAUUUACCUCUUCCUCUCCACUUUGCCUUUUAUUUCUUUUUCCUAUGUAAGUGCUUUGGCUAGAACAACUGGUAUGUUGAGUAGAAGUGGUGAAAGCAGAUGUCUUUGCUUUGUUCCUAAUCAAAGGAAAAUCUUUCAGUGUUUUUCCAUUGGAUAUGCUAUUUUUCCUGGGGGUUUCGUAUUUGGCUUUUGUUAUAUUGAGGUACUUUUGUUUCAUUCCUAGUUUUUUGAAUGUUUUUAAUCAUAGAAAGUGUUGGAAGUUUGUCAAAUGCUUUUUCUGCAUCAAUUGAGAUUACCAUCUAGAUUCUUUUCCUUUCAUUCUGUUAAUGUGAUGCUAUUAUAUUGACUGAUUUUCAUGUGUUGAGCCAUCCUUGCGUUCCAGGAAUAAAUUCCCCUUGGUCAUGGCAUGUAAUCAUUUUAAUAUGCUGCUAAAUUUGGUUUCCUAGUAUUUUGUUGAGGAUUUUGCAUCAUUUUUCAUAAGGGACAUUGUUUUUCUUUUCUUGUGACAUCUUUGUCUGACUUUGGUAUCAGGAUAAUAGGGGCAUCAUAGAGUGAGGGAAUGAUCUAGAGAUUUUGGACAUAUAUAAGUAGAGCCAAUAUGGUGGAGGCUAAAUGAGAUAAUGUAUGAGGAGAGUAUAGCACAGAGUGGCUAUGCUGUCAGCAGGGUUGCUGCUGUUUCAUUCUCAUGAUGCUGUUGUCAUCCUCACUGGCCAACUACCAAGGCUACUUGAAUCUUUUGUACAAAAAAAGGGCUUGCCUAAACCACAAUUAACAUGUUGUUUUCAUUAGUGGUUACAGGGGGAGGUCAGGAAGUUGGGUUGAUAACAGAUGACUUAAGACCCCAACUCCCUAAUCACUUGGUUGAUCUUCCUGGCCUGGCUUGCCCUCAUCAGAGUUAUCUCAUUAGCAUUAGCUGUGUGGGGGCCAGCAUGAAUCACCUCAUUAGCAUAAACUAUCAUGUUUACAUAAACUAUCAUGUUUACAUAAACUAUCAUGUCCACUCCCAUCCUUUAAGAAGUUACAGGGGUUGAAAGAUUCCUUCCCAGGAAUAAUGAGUAAUAGAGCCAGGACUGAAUUCAGUUCUAAUUCCAAAGUCCUGCUGUAUCUACUCCUCCACUUUUAAUAUUCAGGCCCUUGAUAAAUGGUUCAUUUAAGGUCCACAGCCAGACUUGAAUCAGAGCCUGGCCCCCAAUACUGACAACCAAUGCAAUUUUCCCAUAGUAAAAUCCUCUUUUUUUUUUUCUUUCUUUCUUUUUUUUUUUUUUUUUUUUUUUUGGUCACAUUAUGGCGUAUUUGACUUGUUCCUGUAAAUUUUGCAGUUGGUACUGCAAAAUGUAGCUCCCUAGCUAAGAUGUAUUUGUUGUCAGUGUUUGUCAUCACUUACAUUUUAUCGUAUAUUUAAAAAUCAAGUGAAAAAGUUCAUUUCAAUCAAUGCUUCCAACAUUUAAGAAGGUUACAAGUCCUUUUUUGAUUAAUUGUUCUCUUUUUAAAGUAAGCCAUAUCAAUAGAAAGACAUCCAUCUAUUAUUAUUUCUAGUCUACAUGGUGUUGUUUUUCUAAUAUUUGGCUUAAUUUAUGUACUUCUUUCCUGUAGGUACCAUCCACUGUAUUUUCCAUGCAACUGGGCAUCACUACACUUGGAAAAAAGUUACUACAACAGUGCACAACAUUAUUGUGGGCAAGCUGUGGAUAGAUCAGGUGAGCAAAGGUACCCAGAAUACUUCUGAAGUAUAGAAGAACACUUAUUUAGGUUUAUCUCUGCAGUGUUUAGUUAAUGUUGUUUCUUUUUCUCUCCUGGUACUGGGGAUUGAAUCAAGGGGUGCUUAACCUCUGCACCACAUCCCCAGCCCUUUUUGUUUUUUUAUUUUGAGAUAGGGAUUUGGUAAGUUGUUUAGGGCCUUGCUAAGUUGCUGAGACUAGCCUCAAACAUUGAAUCCUCCUGCCUUAGCCUUCAAGCGACUGAGAUUACAUGUGUUUUAAUACUCAUUAAUGAUGACUAGAACUAUGUUGGGGACUAUGAAGGAUACAAGAAAAUAAUAAACAUAAUAAACAAUUUUAGUCCUUCCUUUAUUUAUGAAAUAUUUAUUGCCAAGCAGUAUGCUAGGUACUGGGGUUACAAAGUCAGAUGAGAUGAUCCUCUAGGAGUUACUGCAUCACUGAAGAUAUGUGACAAAGUAUAGAUUGAAAAAUAUGCAACAGAAUAACACAAGUACAAGUCGGAUUCUGGGGUACAUGCCUGCAAUCCCAGCUACUCAGGAGCCUAAGGCGGGAGGAUUGUAAGUUUGAGGCUGACCUUGGCAAAUUAGUGAGGAGCUGUCUCAAAAUAAGAUAUAAAAGGGUGAAGGGGAUGUACUUGGGUAGAAUGCUUCUCGGCACUGUAAAAACAAAACACUAGUACAAGAGGUGUACUAAGAUAAUAUUUAAUUAAUUGUUAGUUUGUUCUUAGAACAGUGGUUGUAGUAAAUCAGAAAAGAAGAAAUACUAUCUUCUGAGCAGUCAAGAAGGGCUUCACUUUCUGAGUGUGGUAGUGCACACCUGUAAACCCAGUUACUUGGGAGUCUGAAGCAGGAAGAUUACAAGUUCAAAGCCAUCCUCAGCAACUUAGUGAGGCUCUAAGUGACUUAGCAACACCUGUCUAAAAAUAAAAAGUAAUAAAAUAGGCUGGGGAUGUGGCUCAAUGUUUAAAUGCCCUUAGUUCAAUCCCUAGUAGCAAAAAAAAAACAGGGUGCAGGGGCUUCAUUGUACAUAUAAGAAUUAAGAUGACUCUUUCUAAAAGAUAGAAAGAAGGGAAAAAUUAAAUAAAGUUAGAAAAGCCUGCCAUAUAUAUAACCUUAAAACUAAGUAGAAAAAAAAAAAAAGUAGAGCGCUUGCUUUUUUUUUUUUUUUAGAGAGAGAGAGGAGAGAGAAUUUUUAAUAUUUAUUUUUUAGUUUUCGGCAGACACAACAUCUUUGUUUGUAUGUGGUGCUGAGGAUCGAACCUGGCCCCUGCCAGGCGAGCGCGCUACUGCUUGAGCCCCUAGAGCUCUUUGAUUUAAGCUGAAAAGCUUGCAAAGUGAAGGAAGUGAAGGAAGAAUUGGUUUGGAAAGAUAAAUUUUAUGUGAAUUUCAGUGUGUGUGCAGAAGGUCAAAUUAUGAUACCUAACAUGUAACACACAAAACAAAACAAAUGGUCACUUGGUCUUGAUCCCAAUCUGGAAUUACCAAGGCUACAAAGGGAUUCCAUAACAUCACCAAGUUUGGCUUAGAACUGAAUUUUAAGCAAAGAAGUGCUAGAAUUUAAGACUGAAGAAUAGAGAGAUCUGGAGUUGUGGCUUAAUGGUAGAGUGCUUGCCUGGCAGACAUGAGGCCCUGGGUUUGAUCCCUGGCACUGCAAAAAUAAUUAGCUGAUGAACUAAUUAUGGGUAGGGAUAUAGCUCAGUGGUGGAGAACUCGUCUAGCAUGUCUGAGGCCCUGGGUUUAAUCUUAACCCAGUACCACAAAAGAAAGAAUAAAGAAUUAUGAGAUAAGGGGUUUGGCAGAUAUUCAAGUUAUCCAGUCGUUAUUUAACUAAUUCAUGAUUCUUUUCAUUUUACAGUCUGGUGAAAUUGACAUUAUAAAUCACAAGACGGGAGACAAGUGUAAUCUUAAAUUUGUUCCUUAUAGCUACUUCUCUCGGGAUGUAGCAAGAAAGGUAAGGGAAAGUGGAAUUCAAUUUUUUUUUACUUAGAGAGCCUACUCCUGUGGAGCUGGUGUGGUGUGUGUGUGUGUGUGUGUGUGUUAAAAAUGGUGAUUCAAAAAAAGUAGAGGGCUGGGGCUAUAGCUCAGUGGCCAAGCACUUGCCUAGCUAAUGUGUGAGGCACUGGGUUCAAACCUUAGCACCAAAUAAAAAUAAAUAAAAUAAAGGCAUACUGUCCAUCUACAACUACAAAAAUGAAUGAAUGAAUGAAUGAAUAAAUAAAUAAAUAACUAGAGAUAAAGGAUAAAGCAGGAAAAGGGACUAUGUUUCAUUGAUGAACCAAUUUCUUCUCAGACCGGUGAGGAAGUAAAAGUCAAGAUCGAAGAGAGACUCAGAAUGGAAACACAAAGGAGGGACUAAUAAAAGAAUUAUAGGAAGAGAGUGUGGACAGUUUGACCCUUGAGAGUUUUAGGGGGAAUUUUGUGUUAACACCAUGGAGAAAUUGUGCUGUGAGUUUUUGUGAGAGAAUGAACAGUAGCUGGGGAUUUAUUUGUGAUUGUCUCUAUUUUCUCCAAAAUAUAAUUCUGACCACUAGUCAGAUACUUUUUCUACUUAUGAUUGCAUCAGAAAUCCCUCUAUAAAGUGAUAAUGAAACCCUAAGCCAUGGCUCAGUUAUUUCAAAAAUAAUAUAACAAAGUAAUCUGGAUGACUCCAUCAUGUUUGUUAUACCAGGACUUAACCAGUAUUUCCCUCUGACUUUGGUUUCUGGAUUAGUCAGUUAAGCUACCUCACAGUGAAUACUCUAUUCCAAAGCCCUGCUCUCCACCCUUGCAGGUGACAGGGGAAGUGACAGAUCCAUCGGGAAAAGUUCAUUUUGCCCUUGUGGGGACUUGGGAUGAGAAAAUGGAUUGUUUCAAAAUACAGCCGGCUGUUGGGGAAAAUGGGGGUGAUGCUCGCCAGAGAGUCCAUGAAGCAGAGGAAAGCAGGGUCAUGCUGUGGAAAAGGAAUCCUUUACCGUGAGUAUUAGUGUGCAAGCUGCCCAAGUACCACUUUAGCCUUGACUGUGAAGCAGUACUGAAGGUAUUUCUGCCUGCCUUCACUAUGUGAUUUGAGUUACAGCAUGCCUUGUCCCAAGAAAGUUCUAACUAACCAAAUCACAUCUGUGAAAAAAUGUUUGGCCUUCCCAAAGAGCCAUUGGAAUGCAAUUCACAAGGAUAUUUUCUACAAUUUAGAGCAGACUAUGUAGGAGCAGCUAGAGGAGAAAGGUGCUUACUACCUAUUAACAAUUUAGCCUAAAAUGCAGGAGCAAUAUAAAAAUCCCUAAGACAGUGCACAGGACUUUGGAACAAGGUGGAAGCCAUUUGUCUCCUAUCACCAUCUAAUCCAUUCAGUCUAUAGUAACAGCCAAGAUUAUCCCAGAAAGAGGUUAAAAGGGAAACAAAGGAAUGGAAAUGAGGAAUUUCAUUAAGUAGAAUAUUUCAUUCUUCCUAACAAAUGUAGAUCAUUUUAACUGAGAGCAGUGUAGUCCCAGAUGACUAUUGAAUUGAGUGAUGCUGGGGGUGGGGGGUGAGGACAGGAAUGAUCCAGUUUGGCUGUCUUCAUUAGGGGUUCCUGACAUGGUGCUAGAUUUUUUCCAUUUGUGGAUCAGCCUUUCUGCUCCUUCACUAAGUUCUGGGCUCUGGCGUUACCCUUCCUUUCUCUCAUUCUUUACCCUUAGGAAGAAUGCAGAAAAUAUGUACUACUUUUCAGAGCUGGCUCUGACUCUCAAUGCCUGGGAAGGUGGCACUGCACCCACAGACAGCCGGUUACGGCCUGACCAGAGACUGAUGGAAAAUGGGCGCUGGGAUGAAGCCAAUGCUGAAAAGCAGCGCCUGGAGGAAAAACAAAGACUUUCCCGAAAAAAGAGAGAAGCAGAAGCUAUGAAAGCCACAGAAGAUGGUAAUGAACUUGCCUUCUACUUACAUUUCUUGAUGCAUAGAGAGUGUCAGCUCAAUUUGUGCUUUUCUUUCUUUUAGGCACGCCAUAUGAUCCUUAUAAGGCACUGUGGUUUGAGCGGAAGAAGGACCCUGUGACCAAGGAGUUAACCCAUAUUUAUAGGGGUGAAUAUUGGGAGUGCAAAGAAAAGCAGGACUGGAACUCAUGCCCAGACAUUUUUUGAAGCACCAGUAACACAAAGGAAGCGGAUCAAAUGGAGAAGAGGACAGAGGAUGUGCAGGAAAGCUGGCAGUUGUGACUCUUACCAAGUGCUUUCCUCAAGUUUGUCUGUCUUAACCAAUCAUUUUUUCCAAAUCAAUCACCAGAAGCAGACACCAGUGGUGGUGAUUGGCUGGUUGCCUUAGCUGAUUGAUGCUGAAAUCGAUGUACUAGAUACCUUGUAAGGGAGAGGUUUAGUGGCUGAAAGUUAGUGUUAUUCCACUUCUACAAAGUCAAGUAUUCUUGGCUCUUCUUCCUCCCUCUGCCCCAUUUAAGGUGAUGUUAUUCACCCUCCCCAUGUAGUAUCCUGCUCAGCCAAGAUCUGCGUAAAAUUGUGAUUCAUGAGCAUUUUGGUGCUGUUCAGGCAAGAACUGAUUUUAAAGUUCCUUUAAAAAGAAACACAUAUAAGACUUAACCAGCAGAGACAUCGAGAGUGAUUGCAGUGGAGCUUAGGUCUAACAUUGUGAAAGGUGUUCAUACAGCGUUGGUUUAAUGGGGCAUCGUGCAUAGAUAACUGAGGUAUUAAAACACCUGCAAGAGUGAUUGUUCUGUAGGGCUGGAAUAUUCAGUUACAUUCUUGGAAGUUUCUAUCUUCAUCACGUGAAACACUUGUCUGCUGUUCUCCAUCUUCUUUGGCAGCAACUGGAGGCCAUGUGGUGGUUGUUAAAAGAGUCGCAUUAUCCUCACAAAGGGGUUUUACGGACUUCCUCAGGCAGAGAACUUCUGAGAACACAGGCAGGAUGGAAAAAGACUGCUAGCCACUUUUACCUUCCCGGUUCCUCCUCGCCCCCAUCCUUCAUGCCUUUCUAGCUUCUCUCUCCUGGCAUAAUACCAAUUUGGGCCUGUGCCCCAGUCUGGAGCAAAACAUUGCCUGUCCCCUUCUGAUAAACUUCAGAAUUUGAGAGAAGUUAAUCUGGAACAAAAGUUUUCACCAUCUCUCAAGCCCCAUGGACUGGAGCCACCUCUGGAAUAAUGUGUUAAAUAUCUGUAUAUUAUAUAUAUGUAGAGAAAAAUCUAAUUUUUUGUUUGACUUUCCUCCUUCCCAUUAAGAAUCUUGGUUUUUAAUAUCACUUGUCUCCCUGGGACUCUCUUGGACAUGAGCUGGUGUGUAUUAGCACUCCUUUACUUCCAUCUUCUAGAGGCAGAUUUGAAACCUGAGCAGGAAGGAUCACGUCUAGCAGUUACAGAACAGGGACUCUGUCCAUGGUUUGUAUCUUGGGGUGCCCACUGAAGUCUGAACUCUGCUCUCCUAAUUACCCGACUCUUGAAAAUGAAAUCCUAAACUCUUUCCUGCCUCUUUUCUGUCUUUUGUUAGGAAGAGUAUGGGUAGAAAAUCAGGAGGGUAAUUUCCUAUUUACUCCUGCCUCUGUCCAGCACGUAGGCUAAAUCCCAAAAGAACUUUCUUCCUAGGGAUGUGGGCUAAAAGCACUGUCAAGUGGGGUGGAUCAGAGAACUGAGCCUGUUGGGACCUGGCUUCCUUCUUAUUGUAUGUUCUAUAUUUGUUUCAGUUGUCUUGUUCAGAAAUCUCCCCUGGGGAACCCACCCUUGGUUGAGGAUCACAAAUUGAGGUGCCUUCCUUGUAUGCUUUUUGUUAGUGUUUUUUGUUUUUGUUCCUUAACUGCUGAGCCUCAGCCAGUGUGGGUCCUGGGGGGAAAUAUCAUUCCAGAGGAAGCCAUCCCUCCGGGAAAUUGGAUUUUAUGGGUAAAUUAAUUAGUACUUUAAUCCUUCCCCACUAUCCCUCCUUGCUGUGAUAGACAUGAGAGAGGAGUGACUGACCGCUGGAGGAGUGUCCUCCUUUCUAAGAAUGCUUUUCCCAGCACAAGCCAGAGGUUAUGCUGGGGCUUCUUCCAAGGAGGCCCAUGGAAGCAGGAACUUCAUCUGGGGCUUUGGAUAGAGUGUGAAUUCCCCAGCUAAACUGAACUUCCUGCUUUAUCCCCCUUUUCCUCCUUUACCAUCUGCACUACAUUUCUGAAUUGAUCCCCAGAUUCCUGCUAAUGGAAGCAGCUUAGAGUCCUUCAGGUGGAAUAAAGUCACAUGAAAAUGAAACAAAACUAUAUAUAUUUUCAGUUUUUUUGCCUUAUUGCUUUUUUUCCAAAAAAAAGUACUAAAUUAAAUAAUUUUUUUAAAAGCCAUA